UGGCCCUACGGGGCGCAGCAGUGAGGAAUAUUGGUCAAUGGGCGGAAGCCUGAACCAGCCAAGUCGCGUGAGGGAAUAAGGCCCUACGGGUCGUAAACCUCUUUUGCCGGGGAGCAAGGGCGGGGACGUGUCCCGGCCCGGAGAGUACCCGGAGAAAAAGCAUCGGCUAACUACGUGCCAGCAGCCGCGGUAAUACGUAGGUGGCAAGCGUUAUCCGGAUUUACUGGGUGUAAAGGGAGCGUAGGUGGCAGGGCAAGUCAGAUGUGAAAACCCGGGG
rnacentral:rRNA from 1 species